rnacentral:rRNA from 1 species
CUAUACAUGACUCUGCGCAUAUCAAUAAGCGGAGGAAAAGAAACUAACUAGGAUUCCCUCAGUAACGGCGAGUGAAGCGGGAAGAGCUCAAAUUUGAAAUCUUCAAGGUUCUACCUUGACGAAUUGUAGUUUAAAGAAGUGUUUUCUGUUGGAGUUUUGGUAAAAGUUCUUUGGAAUAGGACAUCAUAGAGGGUGAGAAUCCCGUAUUUGACCAUUAUUUCCAACUUUGUGAUACACUUUCAAAGAGUCGGAUUGUUUGGGAAUGCAGUCCAAAAUGGGUGGUAAAUUUCAUCUAAAGCUAAAUAUUGGCGAGAGACCGAUAGCGAACAAGUACCGUGAGGGAAAGAUGAAAAGAACUUUGAAAAGAGAGUUAAACAGUACGUGAAAUUGUCAAAAGGGAAGCGUUUGACACCAGUGUUGUUUAGUUGAAAAUCAAUUCAAUAAUUUUUGAUUUUAAGUAGUAUUGACUUCAUCAGCUUGCUGCUUUCUUUUCGAAAAUUAUUGAAUGCACUUUUCAGUUAACAAGUCAACAUCAAUUUCUUUUGUUGUAAGAGGGUAAGAGGAAGGUGGCUUACGCUUCGGCGUAAGUGUUUAUAGCCUUUUACCUCUGCAAUCGGAGAGAUUGAGGUCAGCAGCGUAGACUCCUUCGGGGGUUAGAUACACUUGUGCUAAGCUAUAGCCUUGUAUAGACAACUUGUUGACUAUGCUCAGUCAUGUAGCUUACUCGCUUGUGCUAUUUUACCUACGCUUAGGAUGUUGAAGAUAUGCGCGACACGACUCUAUACAUGACUCUGUGCAUAUCAAUAAGCGGAGGAAAAGGCAUACCUACGCUUAGGAUGUUGAAGAUAUGCGCGACACG